rnacentral:RNase_P_RNA from 1 species
UUCCUGCACUAGGCAGUCGCUGGCGAAAGCCAGAGGAAAGUCCGGACACGCGUGAUUCAGUUCAAAAGGUAACGGGUAACGCCCGCCUGGGUAAUCCAAGGGAUGCGAGCAGAGACGCUGAAGGAGAGAUCCCGAAGCCCCUCAAGUCUUCUUGAGGGUGAGGCCUGUCGAAAUACAGGAUUGAAACGGCAAAAUUCCUACCCGCGUGCAAGGUCGUGUCACCGCAAGGUGGAGAACCGCUCGAGGUGCAUGGCGACAUGUAUCCCAGAUAAAUGACUGUCCCCGACAGAAUCCGGCUUAACGGUGCAGAACAUGA